GAUGAACGCUGGCGGCGUGCCUAAUACAUGCAAGUCGAGCGAACAGACGAGGAGCUUGCUCCUCUGACGUUAGCGGCGGACGGGUGAGUAACACGUGGAUAACCUACCUAUCAGACUGGGAUAACUUCGGGAAACCGGAGCUAAUACCGGAUAAUAUAUUGAACCGCAUGGUUCAAUAGUGAAAGACGGUUUUGCUGUCACUUAUAGAUGCAUCCGCGCCGUUUUAGCUAGUUGUUAAGGUAACGGGUUACCAAGGCGACGCGGCGUAGCCGAUCGGAGAGGGUGAUCGGCCACACUGGAACUGGGACACGGUCCAGACUCCUACGGGAGGCAGCAGUAGGGAAUCUUCCGCAAUGGGCGAAAGCCUGACGGAGCAACGCCGCGUGAGUGAUGAAGGUCUUCGGAUCGUAAAACUCUGUUAUUAGGGAAGAACAAAUGUGUAAGUAACUAUGCACGUCUUGACGGUACCUAAUCAGAAAGCCACGGCUAACUACGUG
rnacentral:rRNA from 1 species